rnacentral:rRNA from 1 species
UACGUAGGGUGCGAGCGUUGCCCGGAUUUAUUGGGCGUAAAGGGCGCGUAGGCGGCCACGCACGUCCGUUGUGAAAUCGCCCGGCUCAACUGGGCGGGGUCAGCGGAUACGGUGUGGCUCGAGGCAAGCUAGGGGGCAAUGGAAUUCCCGGAUGUAGUGGUGGAAUGCGUAGACUAGUCAGGAAGAACACCCGUGGCUAAGGCGGCUCUCUAGUAACGGUA